GGUGUCCUGGAUAAGGGGAUUAUGAUGCAGGCUGAGGGGAGGAGAGGUGUGGGAGGUUACCAGAGCACGAUUGGCUACUGUACUAAUGAAUGAAAAUCCCUCCCUUGCAUGGGAGCAGGCUUUAAAAGGCCACUGUCUGAAUAAAGGGUUAGUUAUGCUCCUGAAACUGUGUCGUCCAGUUAUUGGGAAUUGCUGUUGGGAUAUCGCUGCUGGAUACUUUACCCUAUGGAUUUAUAAUUGCUUGUUCCUGAGUCUCCCUGGGAUCUAAAGUGGAGAUAGGCUGUGGUAUACCAGCUCUCCGCUACCCAGU